rnacentral:rRNA from 1 species
AUUGAACGCUGGCGGCAGGCCUAACACAUGCAAGUCGAACGAGUGGCGGACGGGUGAGUAAUGUCUGGGAAACUGCCUGAUGGAGGGGGAUAACUACUGGAAACGGUAGCUAAUACCGCAUACCAUCGGAUGUGCCCAGGUGGGAUUCGCUAGUUGGUGGGGUAACGGCUCACCAAGGCGAAGAUCCCUAGCUGGUCUGAGAGGAUGACCAGCCACACUGGAACUGAGACACGGGCCAGACUCCUACGUGAGGCAGCAGUGGGGAAUAUUGCACAAUGGGGGCAAGCCUGAUGCAGCCAUGCCGCGUGUAUGAAGAAGGCCUUCGGGUUGUAAAGUACUUUAAGUGGGGAGGCGUUACCCGCAGAAGAAGCACCGGCUAACUCCGUGCCAGCAGCCGCGGUAAUAC